GGGGCUAUAGCUCAGCUGGGAGAGCGCCUGCUUUGCACGCAGGAGGUCAGCGGUUCGAUCCCGCUUAGCUCCACCA
rnacentral:tRNA from 81 species